UCAGUUGUUCCCAUAGGGUCUGGACGAUUGGAGUGUUGACAGUAAUGCAGCCACACGAAGUUGAGGUCAUACUAUUUCAGUGGAGAAUAGACUGAAAAACUUUAGGAAGAGGUCAUUUCCGUGAUAUUUUGGCCAAAAAAAAAAAAAAAACAGAAAACUUUUGUACUUGGCUUAUGCCCUGAGAUAUUGAGUAGGUCAAACAAACAAACAAAAAUAUUGCCUGAUUUGUAUAUUUUUAUGUGAUUGAUAAGUAUUUGUUCAAUCUUCCUAUUUCUUUUUUUCCUCUGAGACAGAGUUUCUCUGUGUCUCCCUGGCUGUCCAGAAACUCACUUUGUAGACCAGGCUGUCCUCGAACUCAGAAAUCCCCCUGCCUCUGCCUCCAGAGUGCUGGGAUUAAAGUCGUGCUCCACCAGGACCAGACUUCCCCUAUUUCUUUAUUCAAUUUACAUUCUAAUUGUUACACCCAUCCCAUUCCACCUUCCUCAGUCCCUCAUCACUGACUCCCUUUUAUCUCCCCAGGGAGGGUGGGAACCACUUGAGUAUCCCCCAACUAUGGCAUGUCAUGUCUCUGCAGGGUUAGACACAUCCUUUACCACUGAGGUCAGACAAGGCAGCCCAGUUAGGGAAACAGUUUGCACAGACAGGAACAGCUUAAGGGACAUGUCCCGCUCUGAAUGUUGGGGACCCCAUGAAGACUGAGCAGCACAUCCACUACAUAUAUGGUUGGGGCCUCCAUCCCAGCCUGUGUGUGCUCGUUGGUUGGUGGCUCCAUCUCUGAGAGUCUCCUAGGUUCCGGGUUAGUUGAGUCUGAGGGUCUCCUCAUGGACUUCCUAUUCCUUCAGAGGCUGUCAAUUCUUUCCCCAACUCUUUUAAAAUACUCCCUGAGCCCUGUCCAAUGUUAGGCUGUGGGUCUCUGCAUAUGUUUCAGUCAGAUGCUGGAUGGAGACGCUCAGAGGACAAUGAUGCUAAGCUACUAUCUGCAAGUAUAACAAAUUAUCCUCAGUAAUGCCAGCCUUGGUGCUUGCCCAUGGGAUGGGUUACCAGUUGGGCAGGGUAUAGUUUGGCCAUUCCCUCAGUCUCUGUUUCAACUUUGUGCCUGCCUUACUUGCAGACAGAACAAAUUUUGGGAGGAAAGGUAUUUGGUUUUCUUGGUGUACUGAACACUUCACUGGUGGGUCUGCCUCCUGAGUGCUGGGAUUAAAGGUGUGCGCCACCACGCCCGGCCUGAAGACAUCUGUGAUCUUAAUAGAUCUUCCUUUAUGUUUUUCCUGGCUUUUUACCUUUGCAGCUUUUAGUAUUCUUUCCUUGAACUGUAUGUUUUGAUUAUUACACAGGAAAGAGACUUUAUUUUAUAGUCCCUUCUGUUUGGUGUUUUGAUGAUUCUUGUGUUUUCUUUAUGUUAGGAAGUUUUUCUUCUAGGAUUUGGUUGUCAAUACUUUCUGAGACUUUGAGGGAGGAUUCUCCUUCCUCUCUUCCUAAGUAUUCUUAUGUUUAGUCCUUUUACAGUGUCCUGGAUUUCCGUGAUAUUUUAUAUCAGGAAGAUUUAGACUUACCGUUUUUUUUUUUUUUUGUCUGAUUUACCCAUUCCUUCUAUUGCUUAUUCAAUGAUUGAGAUUUUUCUCCGUAUCUCUGUUCUCUGGGUGAACUUUGCCUCUGUAGUUCCUUUUUGCAGUCCUAAAUUUUUAUUUCCACUAUUUCCUAAGAUUUAGUUUUCUUUUUUUGCUUCUAUUUCCACUUUUAUGUAUUGAAUAGUUUUGUUUACUUCACCCAUUGGUGUGUUCUUUCUACGCUUUGUUUAUAGGAAUUUUGGCUUCCUCUACUUUUUGGUUUGUGUGUUCCUGGCCUUCUUUAUGGAAUUUAUUGAUUUCCUCUAAUUUUGUUCUGUUUUCCUGGAUUUCUCUAAGUGAUUUGAUCAUUUCCUCUUUAAGGAACUCUGUCAUCUCCAUACAUUUGGGGUUAGAGUGUUUUUCUUGUAAUUUAGCUUUGUUGGAAUAUUUAAGACCUUCUUUGACAAUAUAAAUGAGAUCAGAGUCAUUAGCCAGAGAGUGAUAAAUGCUGGUCCUCAUUACAUUAUCGAGUACCAACGUCAUGGAAUGGAAUGGCGCUAUCUAACCUAAGUAUUCAGCUUAGAUUUAACCCAAUGUUUGAUUAAUCCCAAGGCUGUCCUUUCCCUUUACACUGGACAGGUAGCCAAGUGAGGCACUUUUUGAAACAGUUACUUUUUGUGAGACACCUGUUUUUAAUCACUAACCUUGGGUUAACCAUU
rnacentral:lncRNA from 1 species